GCAACAAAAGCAAAAACUCUGUCUCAAAUAAAAUAAGUAAAUAAAUGAAAUAAACUUAGUAAACUAUUUUAAAAUAAAUAAUGUGAAAAUUCACAGUGUAUGUAGUAGAACUGUGAGAGAUCUCAUCUUGGAAACAGAGUGAUAUACUUGAAGGCAAAAGAUUGGAUUAGGUACUAUUAACACGUUUUACACAUGAACAAACUGACACUAAGAGGUAAAGUAAUUUGCUUAUGAUGAUUGAGUUCCCAAGUACCAAGCUGAUUUUUGAACUAAAAUCUGACUCGAAAAUCUGCUAUUUUCUUAUCAGGCUGCUUCCUACAAGAAUAUAACCUCGCUUAGUAUCUACUUAUAGAGCAUCCACCCUCACAACUCUUUGGCAUUCAAAUGUUUGUUGAGUAGCGGUAGUAGAGCACUACGUUCCAAUCAGAAAAUGCCUUAUUUUUCCUUGUUUGCAGGAGCAUAUUAUAAAUAAAUGCCAAAUGCCUUGUUUUCGCUGUGUCUCUUGUUGUCGAGAGCUCAAGCUGGUCUCAAUUUCUACAACCACAGGUCUCCUUCUGCCCUAGGUAUAUUGCAGUUAUGCUUUACGUGGAGAUGAAGCAUCCUAAGAGUGGGGAAGGAUAUAUGGGGCCGGAACAAUAGGCGCUGAAGCCAGAUUGUGACUAAAGUUGGUAUUUGAACAAACCAAGUGUUUUUUUUAAAGAGCAUGGUAAAAACUAAGUUUCAAAAAUCGAUGCUGGCAAAAAUUUCCUUGAAAAAAUUCUCACCAAGUUCACUUGCAAGGUGCUACCUGGGGAAUGAAAUAGAUUUGUCAAGGACACACCUAAAACUAUAUUACUGUUGUAGUUUUGAAAGACUGAGACCUUUGGAAGGGGGAGUUACAAUUAAAGCAAACAUCGGCGUAUCCGUUUAUUCAUUCACCAAAUGUUUAUGAAGCAACAAACUUAUGCCCAAUAUUUCAAUCUUGCUGCUCUUCCUCCUCAAAUUCAGGAACUUUUGCAACGGAAACCAGCCCCGGGCAUGCGCCUUUUGAGCCGAGGAGCAAAAGGGGCAAGUCAGUAGCCGCACCCGCCUCCCCGGAAAUCCUUGGAGGGGCGGGGCUCUCGGAGCGCGCUCUUCCCAGCGGCAGCUGGGGAGGCGCAUGCGUACUUGCGUCAUCGUGGGGGGUGCAUCGCGGAGGCGUGGGAGAAUCUGUGGCCCGCGGUGGGCCUUGGUCCCUUCUGUCCCCGCCCCGAAGCCGCCUGCUCAAGCUGAGGGCCACCGGCUUCUAUCCGUCGGUGUCGGUGCUCCUUGCCUCCCAGCCAGAGCGUCUCAUCCCUGGGCCCGGAGCCCUAGCCUCGCUCUCCUCAGCCCGUGCUGGCAGCGGCACUCUUGCCGCCAUUCCUGUGAGGUCGUUUUCCGGAGCCGCCGGGCUGGCGGAGGAGUAAGUAGGCGCCAGAGUCUUGGCCCCGGCAUCCGCCUCGGGGCCCUGUGGCCGCCGCGCGCCGUAUCCUGCGUUGAUCCUGUCCGUUAAAGCGGAGGUCGGCCGUGCUUGCUGACGCGACCGUGAAAACCACAGCGCCUGGCGCCCGGCCGCCGCCGCCACGCCACACACAAGUGUACCGGCCCGAGGCAGGCUUCGGGCGCGAGCUUGCCCUUUGUGACUUUCUCUUACCGUCUUUGCUUGCUUCCUUUUAAGUAUUACUUCCAGAUAAGGGACACAUUCUCGAAAUACUUUGAAAAUAAUUUUGAAUUUUGUUUCUCCCGUUGAGACGGAUUACAUUUGGACCUUUCAAGCUACACUGUGCAAUCAUCAAUCUCAAUAAGCUCUUAAUAGGCUUAUUCUUCCGUAGGCUACAAGCAAAAUAAAGACCAUAACAUCCUGCGGAGGAAGCCGUUGGUCCAUGUGGAGUCGCCAGAUGUCAAUUAAGAGUAGAUCGCUUUUCAGAGAAUACUUAACGGCUCUGGUUUAGACCCGGACUUGGAACUUUGAGGUGUUUAGAACGCUGGGCAGAAUUUUCCUUUGUUACAAAACAAACUUUACGAGAACGUAAUUUGUUUUUGUUGUUGUUGUUAGUAUUGAAGCAAUUUUGGUGCAAACCAAAGGAUAAAGCAAAACAAUGAUCACCCAGAGUUCCGUUACCCAUACUGAACCAACUUGAACAUACUGGUUUAUUUUGGCUUUUUUCCAUGUGAAAUGUCAAAUAUUCUUAUACUCAGGCCCCUGCGCUGCAACUUUCAGUUACUUCAGACUUUCAGAAGACUGGCCUCUAAAUACCUCAAUUUAUCUGCACUACUGUGAUCUACUUGAAAUUCUCUUCCCUCUUCUGCAGUUUGUAAUGGCAUUCAGGCCAAAAGCUGUAGUAGUUUUAGGGCUCUCUUCAUUUGCUUCUCUACUCCUAGGGAUCAUAGUUCUGUGCUAUCUGUUGUCCAGCAUCUGACACAGUUGGUUUUAUAUUUUGUCUAGUUUUCUAUUAAGCAGGUUAAGUCUGGUUCCUGCUAUUCCAUGUAGCAGGAAGCAAAGGUUCUCUAAUGCAUUUUUAACAUAGUUAAUAACAUAAGCAUGGAUUCUAAAAAUUCAUUACAUAGAUCCUGGAAAUCUAUUUAAUAUGUUUUAUGCAUUCUGUGAAAGCUGGAGAAUAUAUAUUUGUUUUACUAUGUGUAUCACAAAUAAAAUAUCAAUUUCAUGUGCCAGAGAAUUGAAUACAGUAUCAAAGGGUCAUUUCAUAACUUUAUCAUCACCACCUAUCCUGGAAGUCCUUUAAACUUUCUUUUCUAUGGAUCUAACAUUUAUCAAUAAUGAAUUCCUAAACUACUGUAUUAGUUAGUCCAGUGUUUCUCAAAGUCCACCGUAUACAAAAUCAUCUAGGGAAUCUUGCUAAAAUGUGGAUUCUGAUUUAGUAGGUCUGGGGUGAGGUCUUCCCUUUUGCAAUUCCAGCAAGUCCCCAUGGGAUGCUGGUGCUGGUUAAUGGAUGUCACUUAGAGUAGCAAGUAGCACAUUUGCCCAGUAUUUACAAUGAGCACAUGUUUUGGGUAUCAUCAAAACAAGAGAAUCUAAAAACGUAUGGCGUGGGUUGUGUUAUUUGAUAUUUCAAAAAGAUCAUUGAAAUCAGAAAAUCUUAGAGAUAUGUUGCGUUUCUUCACAUUUGCUCUAUGGCUUAAUGUUUUAUUUUGAAUAUAUAAUAAAAGAGAUACCACAAAUCUUUAGCUAUUAA